rnacentral:rRNA from 1 species
AUAGCAGCUGGAAACGGCUGAUAAAACCGCAUAAGCGCACAGCAUCGCAUGAUGCAGUGUGAAAAACUCCGGUGGUAUGAGAUGGACCCGCGUCUGAUUAGCUGGUUGGUGAGGUAACGGCCCACCAAGGCGACGAUCAGUAGCCGGCCUGAGAGGGUGACCGGCCACAUUGGGACUGAGACACGGCCCAAACUCCUACGGGAGGCAGCAGUGGGGAAUAUUGCACAAUGGGGGAAACCCUGAUGCAGCGACGCCGCGUGAAGGAAGAAGUAUCUCGGUAUGUAAACUUCUAUCAGCAGGGAAGAUAAUGACGGUACCUGACUAAGAAGCCCCGGCUAACUACGUGCCAGCAGCCGCGGUAAUACGUAGGGGGCAAGCGUUAUCCGGAUUUACUGGGUGUAAAGGGAGCGUAGGCGGCGGAGCAAGUCAGAAGUGAAAGCCCGGGGCUCAACCCCGGGACGGCUUUUGAAACUGCCCUGCUUGAUUUCAGGAGAGGUAAGCGGAAUUCCUAGUGUAGCGGUGAAAUGCGUAGAUAUUAGGAGGAACACCAGUGGCGAAGGCGGCUUACUGGACUGACAAUGACGCUGAGGCUCGAAAGCGUGGGGAGCAAACAGGAUUAGAUACCCUGGUAGUCCACGCCGUAAAC